GACGAACGCUGGCGGCGUGCUUAACACAUGCAAGUCGAACGGAAAGGCCCUGCUUUUGUGGGGUGCUCGAGUGGCGAACGGGUGAGUAACACGUGAGUAGCCUGCCCUGGACUUUGGGAUAACUUCAGGAAACUGGGGCUAAUACCGGAUAGGAGCUCCUGCUGCAUGGUGGGGGUUGGAAAGUUUCGGCGGUUGGGGAUGGACUCGCGGCUUAUCAGCUUGUUGGUGGGGUAGUGGCUUACCAAGGCUUUGACGGGUAGCCGGCCUGAGAGGGUGACCGGCCACAUUGGGACUGAGAUACGGCCCAGACUCCUACGGGAGGCAGCAGUGGGGAAUAUUGCACAAUGGGCGGAAGCCUGAUGCAGCAACGCCGCGUGCGGGAUGACGGCCUUCGGGUUGUAAACCGCUUUCGCCUGUGACGAAGCGUGAGUGACGGUAAUGGGUAAAGAAGCACCGGCUAACUACGUG
rnacentral:rRNA from 1 species